rnacentral:rRNA from 1 species
UGUAUGGAUGUCAAUAUACAGUCUGGCCUGCCCCCUGAGUUACUUAAAGGGCCGCGGUAUUUAAACCGUGCUAAGGUAGCAUAAUAAAUAGUCUUUUAAUUGGGGUCUAGUAUGAAUGGUCGGACAGGAAGUAAGCUGUUUUAAUUGUAAAGUUUGAAUUUUACUUUUAAGUGAAAAGGCUUAAAUUAUGUAGUGGGACGAUAAGACCCUAUAAAGCUUUACAUUUUUCUUGUUGGAGGCAAAGUUUAAGGUUUUUUAUUCUUAUCAAGUAAGAUGUUUCGUUGGGGCGACGAAAAUAUAAAAUAUUAACUGUUUUUUUUUUAAAAAUAGAUUUUUUUAGGUGUGUUGAUCCUUUAUAGAGAUUAUAAGAAUUAAGUUACUUUAGGGAUAACAGCGUAAUUUUUUUUGAGAGUUCAUAUCGACAGAAAUAGUUGCGACCUCGAUGUUGAAUUAAGAUACCUCUAAGGUGUAGCAGUUUUAGUGGUAGGUCUGUUCGACCUUUAAAAUCUUACAUGAUUUGAGUUCAGACCGGCGUA